rnacentral:misc_RNA from 1 species
CUUGAAAAAGCAUUAAUUAACGUGAAAGAUUAUUUACAAGAAAACAUGAGGAACAGCAACAUACAAAAACCCUAAAAUGAAGAUCAAAUUUGGAGGUAACUAAUAACUAAAGAUGAAGAACAAGAGCGAUCUAAUAUCACUCUUACUAUAAUUCGAUAAACUACGGAUUAAAAUUAACUAAUUCAAAGAGCUCUAGAAACUCCAUAGGUAUUGGAACUUUCACAGAACAGAUCCUCCCAAAUCUCAGAGAAAGCCUCAACAAUAACCCCAUGAUAAUGCCUGGAAUUCAGAGACAAGAAACACUGCAACAGUUGCUCCAAAUCAUUCACUUCGAACAUCUGCUUCUCCAAUAUCAUCUCCAUCAUCGACUUCUUGAAGUCCUCGUGUGGAUCCUCCGAUUUCUUCACCACUGCGAAGCUCUCCCUCACCUUCCCCUCCACCGCGCACGGUAUCAGCCAUUGAAACCUCGACAAUCUGGCCGGAGAUGACUGUGACUGGUCGCAACUCUUUCUCCCCUUCCCGUUAACGUAUCGUUUUGCCCUCUUAACCUUCUUCUUGCGAUGACGGAUCCUGUUAAAGGGUGACUCACGUAUGGUUUCUAAAUGAGCGCUGCACUCUGGCGAAGAAUAAUCAAUAGAGAUGCUUCUGGUCGAUGAAACUAAUGUUUCUGUUUCCUCCUUGACCAUAUCAUCUUCUUCUUCAUCAUUAUCAUCGUCCAAACCUUCACUGCUGAAUAGUCCGCCAUCAGCUGAGGAACUGCUGGUCCGGAUUCUUGGUGUUGUUUUCUUCUUCUUUUUAAUCCGUCGUUUUUUCCGCUCGGUGUUCGGAGGAGGAGGUGGAGGAAGAAAAAUGUUAUCGUUUUCAAAGUGACCGGAAACCAAAGAGUUAUAGACUUUCCGACGAGGAGUUUCGUCAUACAUUUUGGCCACAACGUGCCAUUCCUCUUCUCUUUCCCAGUGAAACUCAGUCGGAGGAGGAGGAGGAAGUGGUGAGUUAUUGUGGUCGGUCUCAGAAAGAGAAUGUGUAGCAGUGGAUUUUGAUGUGAAGCCGCAGCUGAUUGAAGCGAAGGCUGAGGACAUGUGACGCUUGAUGGAGGAAGAGUGAUGGUGCUUGGAUGGAGGGACUGAGGGUGGGAGACGGAGUCUGACCGUAGAAAGUCCGAGAAAUGAAGGGACAGGAUUGGACGGGAAAGUGGAAGGGUCCUUGAGGCGGCAAGAAUUGAAGGAUGUGAUUACUCGGGAUAAUUUGAGCUUGAAACGUUUCGCCAUUUUUGCAGAGCUGGUCUCUGUCAGCAAUUGCUCUAUGGCUUUAUGCAGCGUCAAAGCAUAGCAUAAACUGUUCGAGAAAAGCUGGACAAAU